rnacentral:rRNA from 1 species
GAUGUUAGCGGCGGACGGGUGAGUAACACGUGGGUAACCUGCCUGUAAGACUGGGAUAACUCCGGGAAACCGGGGCUAAUACCGGAUGCUUGAUUGAACCGCAUGGUUCAAUUAUAAAAGGUGGCUUUUAGCUACCACUUACAGAUGGACCCGCGGCGCAUUAGCUAGUUGGUGAGGUAACGGCUCACCAAGGCAACGAUGCGUAGCCAACCUGAGAGGGUGAUCGGCCACACUGGGACUGAAACACGGCCCAAACUCCUACGGGAGGCAGCAGUAGGGAAUCUUCCGCAAUGGACGAAAGUCUGACGGAGCAACGCCGCGUGAGUGAUGAAGGUUUUCGGAUCGUAAAACUCUGUUGUUAGGGAAGAACAAGUACCGUUCGAAUAGGGCGGUACCUUGACGGUACCUAACCAGAAAGCCACGGCUAACUACGUGCCAGCAGCCGCGGUAAUACGUAGGUGGCAAGCGUUGUCCGGAAUUAUUGGGCGUAAAGCGCGCGCAGGCGGUUUCUUAAGUCUGAUGUGAAAGCCCCCGGCUCAACCGGGGAGGGUCAUUGGAAACUGGGGAACUUGAGUGCAGAAGAGGAGAGUGGAAUUCCACGUGUAGCGGUGAAAUGCGUAGAGAUGUGGAGGAACACCAGUGGCGAAGGCGACUCUCUGGUCUGUAACUGACGCUGAGGCGCGAAAGCGUGGGGGAGCGAACAGGAUUAGAUACCCUGGUAGUCCACGCCGUAACGAUGAGUGCUAGUGUAGAGGGUUUCCGCUCUUUAGUGCUGCAGCAACGCAUA